UGUACGGUCACCUGUGGGAAGUGCUCAGAACUGUGACGCCUCCAAACUGAGAAUCCCGUGACCCAAGUGGACUCACAGUCUCACAAUUUGCACUGUUUUACAGGUAAUAUUAUAUUUCAUGCCACUGUGUUUGUUUGGCUGUUCACAUAUUUGUCCUCACCUAUUGUUAUGAUGCUAAUGCUAAAAUGGCUAGGCCGCAGCCUGGUUUAUCAACCGCAUGGUUUGAAGCAGCCAUUUUGGAUGCGAGGUGUGUUUAGGGACAUCCUGAAAAAUGUAGUUUCUGUAAAUUUACUGUGUAUUUUGCAUAUAAAAAAAAGGAUUAUUGUUAAUUUGAGCACACCAUUGUCAGUACAUGUGAAACCAUUGAAGAAAUGAAUAUGAUGAUUAGUAUAAAGAUUUGGUCUAAACACUAUACGAUCACACCCAAAUGUAACAUGUUGUUUGUACAAUGAAACUAUGGUUUGUUAUGUCAAACAUCAGAACUGUGACGCCUCCAAACUGAGAAUCCCGUGACCCAAGUGGACUCACAGUCUCACAAUUUGCACUGUUUUACAGGACACUGUUAUUAAAGAAAUUCAUAAUCCAC